AGUGGCGUAGCCAGGAUUUUCGGUGAGGGGGAGCAGUGGAGCACCCACUCUAUCAAUUUUUUGCUGAAAGUAGUUGGGUAAAAUAUAAAAAUUGAUACAAGAAAAACAAACAGAUUGAUAUCUAUUACCUUAGAAAAAAAAGCCAAUGAUGUAAAACAGUAUAUUAACAAAGCAAAAUAUAUAUAAGUAGAUAAUUGGAUAAAAUACAUCAAAUCAGGACGGGUAAUGUAGUAGCAAAGUAAAAUUAACUAGUAUUAAAUAUUUAAACUAGAAACAAUGCAAAUUUUUAGGCAUGUAUUAAGGAAAGAAAUAGAAAAUAACCAUAAUAUCCUUAUUAUGAAUGUUAAUUACUGUUGGUUAGUUAAUUAUUAAGGGUAAACUAGUCAAAGAAUAAAACCAAACAUAUUAAUAUUUGGUUAGUAAGAAAUAUACAUAUAUAUUUUCCAAAAGUUCAGGGGGCGCAAUUGCGCACCCUCAAACCCCCCUGGCUCCGCCAC
rnacentral:lncRNA from 1 species